GUAUGAUUGAGCAUCCUUUGGGUAUAUACCCAAGAGUGGUAUUGCUGCUUCUUGAGGUAAGUUGUUUUCUAAUUUUCUGAUACAUUGCAGCACUGAUAUCCAAAGCAGCUGUAUCAGUUUGCUCUCCCACCAACAAUGGAGGAGUGUUCCCUUUACCCCACAUCCUCGCCAGCAUAAGUUGUCAUCAGCGCUCUUGAUCUUGGCCAUUCUUUCAGGUGCUUCAAGUUCUCACGCAUGUGGUGCUUCACCCCACUGAAAGUGCUAACGGACUGGACUGUAGGAGAGGCACAGCUUGAAGCGCAUCGGAAACUAAAACCAUCAACAGGGUUCGCUGCUUCAAUCUUCUCACUGUCCAAAUGGCAAAAGCUUUUGACACCCGGAUUGCUUGCUGCUCUCCACAUUUGCUUGAAAGCCUGGUGACAUCAAAAAAAGCAGAAAGCAAGCAGGAACAGAAGAUAACCCAAGAGCAAGGACAUGGCAA